ACUCAAAGGAAUUGACGGGGGCCCGCACAAGCAGUGGAGCAUGUGGUUUAAUUCGAAGCAACGCGAAGAACCUUACCAGGUCUUGACAUCCUCUGACCACUCUAGAGAUAGAGCUUUCCCCUUCGGGGGACAGAGUGACAGGUGGUGCAUGGUUGUCGUCAGCUCGUGUCGUGAGAUGUUGGGUUAAGUCCCGCAACGAGCGCAACCCUUGACCUUAGUUGCCAGCAUUCAGUUGGGCACUCUAAGGUGACUGCCGGUGACAAACCGGAGGAAGGUGGGGAUGACGUCAAAUCAUCAUGCCCCUUAUGACCUGGGCUACACACGUGCUACAAUGGGUGGUACAAAGGGUUGCGAAGCCGCGAGGCCAAGCCAAUCCCAAAAAGCCACUCUCAGUUCGGAUUGUAGGCUGCAACUCGCCUACAUGAAGCCGGAAUUGCUAGUAAUCGCGGAUCAGCAUGCCGCGGUGAAUACGUUCCCGGGCCUUGCACACACCGCCCGU
rnacentral:rRNA from 1 species